AAAUAUUCUCUUUCUGGUGGUCUACCCAGUAAAAGGUAGUUGUAAUCGAUAUUUUGUUUCCCAGAGAGUUAAUCCUUGAUAUGUUCAUCCUAAUCAAUGACGAGUUUCCUUCUCUUAGCAGUCUUCUUCCCAGUAACCGCUAGUUGUAAAUCAUGCUUUUCUUCCCUUUGUAGAGUUUAUCCUUGAUAUGUUCAUCAUAACCGAUGAUGGGCAUCCUCCUCAACAUCCCCAGGAAAGUCUAUCCUUGAUAUGUUCAUCUUAACUAAUGACAGAUUUUCU
rnacentral:lncRNA from 1 species